AUUGAACGCUGGCGGCAUGCCUUACACAUGCAAGUCGAACGGUAACAGGUCUUCGGAUGCUGACGAGUGGCGGACGGGUGAGUAAUGCAUCGGAACGUGCCCGAUCGUGGGGGAUAACGGAGCGAAAGCUUUGCUAAUACCGCAUACGAUCUACGGAUGAAAGCAGGGGACCGCAAGGCCUUGCGCGGACGGAGCGGCCGAUGGCAGAUUAGGUAGUUGGUGGGAUAAAAGCUUACCAAGCCGACGAUCUGUAGCUGGUCUGAGAGGACGACCAGCCACACUGGGACUGAGACACGGCCCAGACUCCUACGGGAGGCAGCAGUGGGGAAUUUUGGACAAUGGGCGAAAGCCUGAUCCAGCCAUACCGCGUGCAGGAUGAAGGCCUUCGGGUCGUAAACUGCUUUUGUACGGAACGAAAAGACUCUUUCUAAUAAAGAGGGUCCAUGACGGUACCGUAAGAAUAAGCACCGGCUAACUACGUG
rnacentral:rRNA from 1 species